CUAGAAAAUAACAAGUCGGAUACAGGACGUGAGUAGAGAAUGGACUGAGUUUUGCAGCUUUUAGUGUCUUAAUUUUGAGUGAGGAGUUUAAGUAUUAAUUUUCUGUAGUUUUUUAUUUUAGUUUCUAUUUGUCUUUUUUGUUUUGGUUGCCUUCUAUGUUUUUCGAGGCCGCGUUGCCUCAAGCUCUGUAGUUAAAUUCAUCUGCUAAAUGAAUGAAGCAGGUAGCAUGCUACCUUACUCUCUCAAAAAAAAAAAAAGAAGAAAAUAAUUCUCCAUCACUAACUACGUACGUACCAACUUAAUUACUAUA
rnacentral:lncRNA from 1 species